rnacentral:lncRNA from 1 species
GCCACGGCGGCGAGGGAGGCGGAGGAUGGCUGUGCGCGGCGGCGACGGGCCGAGGCUCCUGCCCGGACGACGCACCUCACGGCGGCGCCAGGACAGCCGGGCUGCACGGCCGGGGCUUCGCCCAGAGGCUGCACAGACACUGCGUGCUGACCGCUGGCCGGCGACCGCGGACACCGCGGGGUCCCAGCCGCGGCGUCUCGGCCGCUCCCCCGGCGGCGGCGCGGGGCGUGCGCCUCCCGGCGAGCAGCUCGAGCCGCCGGGCCUCCCAGCCAGCCCCGCCUGUGAGGACGCCAGGACCCCGUCGUCCCGUCGCCGGGCGGCCCCGGGAUCCCAAGAUGCCUGCGGUGAAAGCUCUUCCGCAGGAAGCAGCCCAGUGCAGUGUCCCUUGCCUGAGAGGGUGAAGCUAAGAGGCAGAAACACAGUCACCCACUCGUUGCCCCGACGCACUCAAGGGUGGGCUUGGAAGCGGCUAACUGUGGUUCCAAAUUGUUCUUUUCCUUCUGUUAUGUCAGGGAGGUGCCGCCAGCCCCGCCGGGCCAGGCCAGGCCUCCGCAGAGGGCUCCCCUGUGCCUUUGCCUUGUGGAUGCCGAGCUUCUCCGGGAGGAGGUUCGGGCCUGGGCUCCGCCGCCUGCAGGGUGGAAGCUUGUUUCCCCUGAGCCUGCGCGGGAGGGUUCCCGCCUCUCCCGUUGGAAUAUUCCUUCCUAAUGUGAAGGAAAUGUCCCUGCUUCCCUUUGUUCAGGGACCCAUGACUCUGGACGUGAUUCCCCACACCUCCCGUUAGCUGCAAUAUCGCUGCUUUGUGAGACGACUGCUUCCGGUGGAGAGGCUGACUCACCCGCCAGCAGGGAGCCCGCUUUGGUCUCAGUAAGAAUUCCCUGGAAGAAUACCAAAUGGCGGAACCUCACGGACUGGACGGACGUGCUGUUGAAAUCCCAACUAGUUAAUGUUUCCUGGGUUUCUUUCUUUCAGAAAGGACAGAACCAAACUAACUAAGGCUUAAUUUUCUCUGACCCUUAAUUUGAACGCAGCUGUUCCUUUGUUUUGACUGAUCCUCCACGGCUUUGACAAGUAGAAAUGGCAAGCCACAGGAGAUACUGGGGGACACGAGGAAGCCGUUUGGUGUAAACCUAAUUCGGCCCGGCUUUGUUUUUCCACAAGGCCUGACGUGGCCGUUGAGCAUGCGCUGUACAUCUGCUUAAGCAUUUGCUGUGUCCCGCAGACAAGAACAAAGGCCCUUAAGAUAAAGGUGCAACUUCCCCCACAUGGCAUUUCCUUAAGGACAAGCAUCUCUCCCUGGGCUGGGAACUGAUUGCUAUGCUCACCUGUGACCACCCAGCUCAGGACAACAGACCUGCCACCCUGCUGUGUCCACCAGGACACCAGACCUACUACCUGCUGUGUCUGUCCAUCGCUGUUCCGACAGAGCGGUCUCAUGACUAUUGGAAAAGGGACAUUUCAAGCACAUGUGAAACAUGCUCUUUGGGUGUAUAUAACCACUCUGUACACCCCACGUCUUCGGUGCCCUUCCUUCCUUGGGGAAGGAAGACUCGGGCCAUGGUCCUCACAUUUUGGCUCAGAAUAAACUCACCCAAAUUUUCAUUUCUAGAUUGGUUAUGGAUUGUUUUUGUUGACAACUUGCUCUUCACAAGGCUAAGGAAGUUGGUCCACACCUUGCCUGGGUCUGUGUGGACACAUCUCCACUAACACACGCACACCCACAUCAGCUCCGUGUGUAAGCACAUGGCAUAAUGUAAAUGUUUCACGUAGAGAAUGUAUUGUGGUAGUUUAAGGUGUGUCCUCUGUCUUCCUGGUCGCACUCUUAGGUAUUCACGCAGUGCGUUACAAUUUAGGUCACGCCGCCUGCCUGCGAUUGGUGCCUCCUGGACGGUGAUUACAGUGGAUCCCUCCCAGGCCAAGGGAGCUGGAGCUUCUCCUAGACUCGCUAGGCUGGUACACCAGCGGGGGUUUCCCGCAAAGCCCCCAUUCAGCAGAAGCAUGGCCUUCGGGAUCAGAUGCUGCCUCAGGAUGUGGGGACAGAGUGCCUGCUGGUGGGCCCUUCCCCCAUCACACUCCAACCCCCCCCGACCCCGGAAUUUUACAGUAUUUCAUGGUGCUGAUUUCUCAUUCUGAUCUUCCGGGGCUGGAGCGGUACCAGCAUGUGACUUGUUCCUCCUCCUAUAUCCAUCUUCCUUCAAGUAGAAAAUCAAGAAAAAGAAAUGCAGUGCCUCAUUACUCAGCCGUUUCGGUUGAGUGUUUUCUGGUGCAGAUAUUCCAGAAGCACAUGUCUUGGCGGAAAGACACGAAAGGCUGCCUCCUGCAGUUUUGGGAGCCCACUGACUCCCAUGAUAAAGUGCGGCAACUUGUCGAUCCAGCAAGCCGUGGCCUGGGAUAAAUGAAGGAGCUCUGACUAGCGGGAUUUGGCUCACCGCUGACCAGGGGACCCAAGGCCAGCGUGCCUGCACAGCCUCCACGGUGGUCUUGGAGAAUGAAGGAUGGGGCUGAUGCGGGAAAGGGACCCCGCCCGGCUGCAGUGUCUGCAUGGAGAAGGACGGCAGCCUCCUGAGCAGACCCACACCCUGAGUCCCUGGUGGUGGCUGCCGGCAGAGAGCACAGCUCCUUGUGGGACUGGGGCCCAGGGGGAAGAUCCAUGAUGCUGGGGGCUC